CUUCCAUUUCUUUUGGGCGUUCCGAUCUUAGAAAAGCUUGCUCCAUCAAUCGCUUCCAUUUUUGUUGGCCGAACUGGUAGCCAGUUAUUCCUCACUGAUGGUGAACCCAACAAGCCACCUCUUGUAUUAAGAAUGGCAUCGGAUUGUGAAGAUGGAAAAUUUAUGUCAGCUCUUGGUGCAUUUAGAUGCCGUAUUAUUUAUGCGAAUGUCUCUUUUGACCAUAUGGUUGGUUGGCGUACAUCCUCUAUCAGAAGGGAGACAGAACUCUUCAAGCCUCCUCGUCAAUCUCUGGACGGUUACAAGCAUGUUGUGGAUGUUCAGUACUGUCCACCAAAUUUGUCUGAGGGUACUCAUUUUCCUCCGGAAGCAGCACAAAUUGCACCCAGCCCAGUGAAUGCAGUGGAUUAUCAUGAAAUUAUGGAAGAGGAAAUGAUACGUGGCUUACAACAAUUAGGAUGGAAAAAAGUUGAUGUCAGCUUUCACUCGGCAUUCUUGCCCUUCUUUGCCCAUAACUAUAUUCAUGUGAAAAAUGAAUGGCUUCAUAAUUCUGGAGCAGGAGUAAUCGCUCAUGUUGCUGAUAGCGUAAAACAGGGAGAAAUGCAACAAGACUCUACCUCAUGUAUUGCCACUAGCUUCUAGCAUUGAAAUGAAUGCUAGUACAUGCCAAGGUUUGGUGCAAUACCAGUGGAUGUAUGCAUUUGAGAGGUACAUGUAUAUUCUUAAGGGCUAUGUGCGUAACAAAGCCCAUCUAGAAGGCUCUAUUGCUGAAGGUUACAUUGAUAAUGAGGCUCUUACCUUUUGCUCUAUAUACUUCAAUGAAGGUGAGACAAAAUUUAAUAGACCAUAGCGGAAUUAUGACGGGCCUAUUAAAGCUAUACAAGAUGGAAAUAUUUUUGUAUUUAAGCAAAAAGUACGUGGAAUAGGAGCUGCAGUUAAUGAUGUGUUGAAUUUAAAAGAUUUGAAGAAAGCUCGAUGGUACGUGUUGAAUAAUUGUGAUGAAGUUCAACCGUAUGUGAGGCAAUACAUGGAUGAACUUGAGAGACAAGGUUUGAGGAAUGUUCAAGAGAGGCUAGAAUCAGAGUUUCCAUACAUGGUUUCUAAAAUACAUUUGGUGCAGUGGAGAAGCUGAAAGAUCAAUUGCUAGAAAACAAUAAACAAACUUACUGGUUUCCUGAUUUUGUGGAGCUCAUUCAGGGAGGAACUCUCUCUGUCUGGUGGAUCUGUAUUUCAUGUGAAAGGGCCUGCAACCACUAGGCACAUCCAAGGGUAAGAGAGGACAUGGGAAGUCACGAAGCCUCAAAUUAGCCAAGCUAAAAAAUCAAGGGGUGCGACUGCCUAUUCAGAUUUGCAAGGUUAGUGGACGACCAUAUGGUAAAGCAUCUGAAAAAUUUACCAGUGAAUUAGGGUUUGUCACUAGGAAAUUUGCCUCACAAAAUGUGCCAUUGUGGACCGAUAUUAGCGAAGAGGAUAAAGAAACAUUGAUUGCAUACCUUCAAGUGUCCAAGCACCAGACCGGAGCUAGGAGCAUCGGGUUAGCUCUUGUUUUGUCAAGCCAACCUUUGUGUCUCGCCUCGAGGUUUCAAGUCCGUUCAAGCUACGGCUGUUUUGGGAUAUUCGGAUUCACCCUUCUGUUUUUGUUUUGUAAUAGAUGUUAUAGACUCCUACUGUACAGUUAUGGCAUAGGGAUUGAAUCCCUAACUUGUAUGUAUGUAUAUCUGGUAUGUAAAUGUGUUUUGGUUA